AGUUUGAUCCUGGCUCAGGAUGAACGCUAGCUACAGGCUUAACACAUGCAAGUCGAGGGGAAACGACAUCGAAAGCUUGCUUUUGAUGGGCGUCGACCGGCGCACGGGUGAGUAACGCGUAUCCAACCUGCCCACCACUUGGGGAUAACCUUGCGAAAGUAAGACUAAUACCCAAUGACGUCUCUAGAAGACAUCUGAAGGAGAUUAAAGAUUUAUCGGUGAUGGAUGGGGAUGCGUCUGAUUAGCUUGUUGGCGGGGUAACGGCCCACCAAGGCGACGAUCAGUAGGGGUUCUGAGAGGAAGGUCCCCCACAUUGGAACUGAGACACGGUCCAAACUCCUACGGGAGGCAGCAGUGAGGAAUAUUGGUCAAUGGACGAGAGUCUGAACCAGCCAAGUAGCGUGCAGGAAGACGGCCCUAUGGGUUGUAAACUGCUUUUAUAAGGGAAUAAAGUGAGUCUCGUGAGACUUUUUGCAUGUACCUUAUGAAUAAGGACCGGCUAAUUCCGUGCCAGCAGCCGCGGUAAUACGGAAGGUCCGGGCGUUAUCCGGAUUUAUUGGGUUUAAAGGGAGCGUAGGCCGGAGAUUAAGCGUGUUGUGAAAUGUAGAUGCUCAACAUCUGCACUGCAGCGCGAACUGGUUUCCUUGAGUACGCACAAAGUGGGCGGAAUUCGUGGUGUAGCGGUGAAAUGCUUAGAUAUCACGAAGAACUCCGAUUGCGAAGGCAGCUCACUGGAGCGCAACUGACGCUGAAGCUCGAAAGUGCGGGUAUCGAACAGGAUUAGAUACCCUGGUAGUCCGCACGGUAAACGAUGGAUGCCCGCUGUUGGUCUGAAUAGGUCAGCGGCCAAGCGAAAGCAUUAAGCAUCCCACCUGGGGAGUACGCCGGCAACGGUGAAACUCAAAGGAAUUGACGGA
rnacentral:rRNA from 1 species